GGAUGAGUAAUUUAAAUACAAAAUAUAACACUGAAAAUGUUAAAAUGGUAUUCACCCUCCCCCA
rnacentral:tRNA from 1 species